CAAAGUAUGAAUAAUUCACCGGUUAUUGGAGUGAACUUAAUUUGAAACCAAAACUGGAUAAAUGGAACGCCGUAAAUGUUUAGCAGAAAGUUUAAAAAAUGAACUUUGGAACUUCAUGGUUGACACGCAUGCGUAUUGCACCCAUUUUAUUAUUGACCGGUCAAUAAAUGUUUCAUUGCGGACCGGUUGCCGAACAUGACGUUUUGUGGACCGGCACGUGACACAGUUUUGACCAAUCGGCAAACAGAAAAAUUGAACUUUGACACUAACUAUUUUACAAUAGUUUUUAUUAGAACAACACAUAAUAAGUUGUUAUUCUCUAUUUUUACAAUAACAAGUUUGGAAACAUGAUCUAGUUCCCCAGUUUGAUGUCAUAUUCCAUUUAUUUGUAUAUUUCAAUAAAGGAAUGUGAAAUAAUGAUAGAAUCUUGGGCAAAAUUUGAUACCAUGUGAACAGAUACUAUCACC